rnacentral:rRNA from 1 species
UUGAAGAGUUUGAUCAUGGCUCAGAUUGAACGCUGGCGGCAGGCCUAACACAUGCAAGUCGAGCGGUAGCACAGAGAGCUUGCUCUCGGGUGACGAGCGGCGGACGGGUGAGUAAUGUCUGGGAAACUGCCUGAUGGAGGGGGAUAACUACUGGAAACGGUAGCUAAUACCGCAUAACGUCGCAAGACCAAAGUGGGGGACCUUCGGGCCUCAUGCCAUCAGAUGUGCCCAGAUGGGAUUAGCUAGUAGGUGGGGUAAUGGCUCACCUAGGCGACGAUCCCUAGCUGGUCUGAGAGGAUGACCAGCCACACUGGAACUGAGACACGGUCCAGACUCCUACGGGAGGCAGCAGUGGGGAAUAUUGCACAAUGGGCGCAAGCCUGAUGCAGCCAUGCCGCGUGUAUGAAGAAGGCCUUCGGGUUGUAAAGUACUUUCAGCGAGGAGGAAGGCAUUAAGGUUAAUAACCUUGGUGAUUGACGUUACUCGCAGAAGAAGCACCGGCUAACUCCGUGCCAGCAGCCGCGGUAAUACGGAGGGUGCAAGCGUUAAUCGGAAUUACUGGGCGUAAAGCGCACGCAGGCGGUCUGUCAAGUCGGAUGUGAAAUCCCCGGGCUCAACCUGGGAACUGCAUUCGAAACUGGCAGGCUAGAGUCUUGUAGAGGGGGGUAGAAUUCCAGGUGUAGCGGUGAAAUGCGUAGAGAUCUGGAGGAAUACCGGUGGCGAAGGCGGCCCCCUGGACAAAGACUGACGCUCAGGUGCGAAAGCGUGGGGAGCAAACAGGAUUAGAUACCCUGGUAGUCCACGCCGUAAACGAUGUCGACUUGGAGGUUGUGCCCUUGAGGCGUGGCUUCCGGAGCUAACGCGUUAAGUCGACCGCCUGGGGAGUACGGCCGCAAGGUUAAAACUCAAAUGAAUUGACGGGGGCCCGCACAAGCGGUGGAGCAUGUGGUUUAAUUCGAUGCAACGCGAAGAACCUUACCUACUCUUGACAUCCAGAGAACUUAGCAGAGAUGCUUUGGUGCCUUCGGGAACUCUGAGACAGGUGCUGCAUGGCUGUCGUCAGCUCGUGUUGUGAAAUGUUGGGUUAAGUCCCGCAACGAGCGCAACCCUUAUCCUUUGUUGCCAGCGAUUCGGUCGGGAACUCAAAGGAGACUGCCAGUGAUAAACUGGAGGAAGGUGGGGAUGACGUCAAGUCAUCAUGGCCCUUACGAGUAGGGCUACACACGUGCUACAAUGGCAUAUACAAAGAGAAGCGACCUCGCGAGAGCAAGCGGACCUCAUAAAGUAUGUCGUAGUCCGGAUUGGAGUCUGCAACUCGACUCCAUGAAGUCGGAAUCGCUAGUAAUCGUAGAUCAGAAUGCUACGGUGAAUACGUUCCCGGGCCUUGUACACACCGCCCGUCACACCAUGGGAGUGGGUUGCAAAAGAAGUAGGUAGCUUAACCUUCGGGAGGGCGCUUACCACUUUGUGAUUCAUGACUGGGGUGAAGUCGUAACAAGGUAACCGUAGGGGAACCUGCGGUUGGAUCACCUCCUU